rnacentral:lncRNA from 1 species
ACCUGGGGUACGCCUCGAGGUUUGCUGUGCGCUGCUAAGUGAUGUUUUCACCGCUUCAGCCCUCUCUGGGACGACUGUGGCGGAAACCCCGCAGGCCGCCUGGUGACCUUUGGCAUCUGGGCGUGGGGGUCAGAAGAACAAGCUCAGACCCAGCCCAGAGCCCGCCCAGAGGCCAGCCUGGUGACUGCCCAAGGAGAGGCCACAUUCCCCCGACUCCAGCCCCUGAGGACAGGGCCUCCACCGACUCCCGGGGCUCAGGUGGCACUCGGAAGAUUAUUCAGGCCACUCGAAGCCCUAUCACAGAGCCGGGAUUCCCCGCCUGCCUCAGCUUAAGUCCACCUGCAGAGAAGAAAUACAGGAGAGAGAGCGAAAGCCCAUCCACGCGGCGCAUACUAAAUGCAGGGCCCAGCCCCAGGCCAAGGUCCUCGUGGAGCACCUCUCAACUGGAGCAUGAAAACACCCGGGCCCCAGGAAUCUUUCCAUCCCGUAUCUAUUCAGCAGAGCAGCAAACACCACAUUGGGCUGGAACGCUUCGAAAUGGCAAUUGCCCGGUCCUAUAA